ensembl:lncRNA
CAAAUACGAUCUCUUACAGUUUACAGAGACAAAAGAACACACACACAUCUUUAGACAGUGUUUGGGUUAUCUAUGGGAUGAAUCAUCUGCUGAAGAGCCCACUGUUAAUUCUGGAGGCUUGAUUCUUGAACCCAUAAGUGAGAUACAUCUGCUCAGCUCUGUAAUCAUCACUAAGAUUUUUAGGAAGGUGGGGAAAGUGGGAUAAUACCAAGAUGCAUUACGUGCAAAACCACAUAGAGAACAAGAGACAUAAAGGAAGACAGCAAAUUCUUUUUGCGUGGAUGAAAUCAUGAGUUUCUCCCUGGGAUCUUCCACAUCUCCUUUGAUCAGUCUUCCCAGACCUAACCCUGAAAUGUGCCAACAGGUCUGGUCCAAGUUAGUAAGAGUAAGUAACAGAGUGAAGUGUGGUCCUUUUAGCCAACUCCACAC